rnacentral:tRNA from 1 species
AGAGAGGUGACUGAAUUGGUUAAGGUAACAGACUGCUAAUCUGUCGGGGUAACACCUGUCCCGGUUCGAGCCCGGGCCUCUCUG